GGCAGGCGGCAGCCUACACAUGCAGUCGAGCGGUAGCACAGAAGAGCUUGCUCUUUGGGUGACGAGCGGCGGACGGGUGAGUAAUGUCUGGGAAACUGCCUGAUGGAGGGGGAUAACUACUGGAAACGGUAGCUAAUACCGCAUAACCUCGCAAGAGCAAAGAGGGGGACCUUCGGGCCUCUCGCCAUCAGAUGUGCCCAGAUGGGAUUAGCUAGUAGGUGAGGUAAUGGCUCACCUAGGCGACGAUCCCUAGCUGGUCUGAGAGGAUGACCAGCCACACUGGAACUGAGACACGGUCCAGACUCCUACGGGAGGCAGCAGUGGGGAAUAUUGCACAAUGGGCGCAAGCCUGAUGCAGCCAUGCCGCGUGUGUGAAGAAGGCCUUCGGGUUGUAAAGCACUUUCAGCGGGGAGGAAGGCAGUGAGGUUAAUAACCUCAUUGAUUGACGUUACCCGCAGAAGAAGCACCGGCUAACUCCGUGCCAGCAGCCGCGGUAAUACGGAGGGUGCAAGCGUUAAUCGGAAUGACUGGGCGUAAAGCGCACGCAGGCGGUCUGUUAAGUUGGAUGUGAAAUCCCCGGGCUUAACCUGGGAACUGCAUUCAAAACUGACAGGCUAGAGUCUUGUAGAGGGGGGUAGAAUUCCAGGUGUAGCGGUGAAAUGCUUAGAGAACCGGAGGAAAAACGGGGGCAAAGGGCGCCCCCCGGAAAA
rnacentral:rRNA from 1 species